rnacentral:rRNA from 1 species
CCUACGGGAGGCUGCAGUGGGGGAUAUUGCACAAUGGGGGAAACCCUGAUGCAGCGACGCCGCGUGGGUGAAGAAGGGCCUCGGCGCGUAAAGCCCUGUCAGCAGGGAAGAAAAUGACGGUACCUGAAGACGACGCCCCGGCUAACUACGUGCCAGCAGCCGCGGUAUUACGUAGGGGGCAAGCGUUCUCCGGAUUUACGGGGUGUAAAGGGGGCGCAGGCGGCGAUGCAAGCCAGGUGUGAAAGCCCGGGGCCCAACCCGGGGACUGCUCUUGAAACUGCUUGGCUAGAGUGCAGGAGGGGCAGGCGGAAUUCCUGGUGUAGCGGUGAAAUGCGUAGAUAUCAGGAGGAACACCGGUGGCGAAGGCGGCCUUCUGGACUGCAACUGACGUUGAGGCCCGAAAGCGUGGGGAGCAAACAGGAUUAGAUACCCUAGUAGUC